UACGUAGGCAGCAAGCGUUGUUCGGAAUUACUGGGCGUAAAGAGUGUGUAGGUGGUGUCGUAAGUUUGGUGUGAAAUCUCCCGGCUUAACUGGGAGGGUGCGCCGAAGACUGCGAUGCUGGAGUAUGGGAGUGGAAAGCGGAAUUCCUGGUGUAGCGGUGAAAUGCGUAGAUAUCAGGAGGAACACCUGCGGUGUAGACGGCUUUCUGGACCAUUACUGACACUGAGACACGAAAGCGUGGGUAGCAAACAGG
rnacentral:rRNA from 1 species